rnacentral:snRNA from 1 species
UUCUUCCAAUUACUGGGCCU